GCCUACGGGAGGCAGCAGUGGGGAAUAUUGGUCAAUGGGCGGAAGCCUGAACCAGCCAAGUCGCGUGAGGGAAUAAGGCCCUACGGGUCGUAAACCUCUUUUGUCAGGGAACAAAGGCGGGGACUAGUCCCCGGAUGAGGGUACCUGAAGAAAAAGCAUCGGCUAACUCCGUGCCAGCAGCCGCGGUAAUACGGAGGAUGCGAGCGUUAUCCGGAUUUAUUGGGUUUAAAGGGUGCGCAGGCGGCCUGUUAAGUCAGCGGUAAAAGCCCGGGGCUCAACCCCGGCGAGCCGUUGAAACUGGCGGG
rnacentral:rRNA from 1 species